GGCGAAGUAGUACAAUGGUCGAGUACGUAUUGUUCGGGUAGCAUUUUCAAUAUAAUCUGGGUUCAAUUCCCAGCUUCGCCC